rnacentral:rRNA from 1 species
GUGAACGCUGGCGGUAGGCCUAACACAUGCAAGUCGAACGGCAGCACCGUAAGAGCUUGCUCUUACGGGUGGCGAGUGGCGGACGGGUGAGGAAUACAUCGGAAUCUACUUUUUCGUGGGGGAUAACGUAGGGAAACUUACGCUAAUACCGCAUACGACCUACGGGUGAAAGCAGGGGAUCUUCGGACCUUGCGCGAUUGAAUGAGCCGAUGUCGGAUUAGCUAGUUGGCGGGGUAAAGGCCCACCAAGGCGACGAUCCGUAGCUGGUCUGAGAGGAUGAUCAGCCACACUGGAACUGAGACACGGUCCAGACUCCUACGGGAGGCAGCAGUGGGGAAUAUUGGACAAUGGGCGCAAGCCUGAUCCAGCCAUACCGCGUGGGUGAAGAAGGCCUUCGGGUUGUAAAGCCCUUUUGUUGGGAAAGAAAAGCAGCAGGUUAAUACCCCGCUGUUCUGACGGUACCCAAAGAAUAGGCACCGGCUAACUUCGUG